GCUAAUACGACCGACGAGGAGCGGGUCGCGGAUGCCAAGCGCCAGAAUGUCUUUAUCAACGUUGCCACUUGGAUUCGAAGUCCUGUACAUUGUCUUCUUGAACGUCACCGCCGGCCUUAGCGUCUGAUGGCAUGAAUCGAACGUUCCGGAAGACAUGACUCAGGUACCACUGCAAGCGGGCAAGGAUCACCUUUUCCAUUAUCUUUCCGACACAGCUCGCCAGCGCUGUUGGGCGGUAUGAGAGCUCCCGCCCCUGCUCGUGUUUCUACUGGGCGCCGUUUUCAUUCCUCAGAGGGCGACGCUUCCCCUCGGAUGGCUGCGUCCGAGCACAACCCUCCGAAAUGCCCUGGCAACGCGCUCCGUCCACAGGAAGAGCACAUCUUUCGAAAUCAGCUUAUUCUCAGUAUGAGCUAGCUGUCGUGUUGAAUUCACGCCGCGCGAACCAGAGGCGUUUGGUUUGGCUUGCCUUUUAUGACGGCACAUACCCACUGUGGAGGAUAACCCAAGAUUUGGAUGUUAUUAGGAAAUUGUAUUUACUACUAAAAUUGAUGAAAUUGUCAGGAAAAAAUGAAUAAAAAUAACUGAUGAAGAACUGAAGAAAAUCUCCCUGAAACAACUUUAAGUUCCUCCAAGGCUGAGCAAACAUCCCUCUGAUAGGUUCCAAGAGAGGAGGCUCCUAGAAAAAGAAUACUGAGAAGGAAAAAAAUUAAACCAAGUUGU